GUUUUUCUGCAAAAAAACGUAAAACACACAUUUCCAUAAAAACACAUUUUUCGGCCAAACCAGUAAAACCUCACUUUUCGACUAAACCGAAAAACGUAUUUUUCCGUCAAAACCCAAAAAACGCAUAUUCCCGCCAAAACUCCAAAAAAACAUUUUCCUGCCAAAACCGCAUAAAAACAAUUUUCUCGCCAAAACCGGAAAACGCAAUUUUCACGCCAAAACCGGAAAACGCAAUUUUCCCGCCAAAACCAGAAAACACAAUUUCCCG
rnacentral:lncRNA from 1 species